rnacentral:rRNA from 1 species
AUUGAACGCUGGCGGCAUGCCUUACACAUGCAAGUCGAACGGCAGCACGGACUUCGGUCUGGUGGCGAGUGGCGAACGGGUGAGUAAUGUAUCGGAACGUACCUUUCAGUGGGGGAUAACGUAGCGAAAGUUACGCUAAUACCGCAUAUUCUGUGAGCAGGAAAGCAGGGGAUCGCAAGACCUUGCGCUGAUUGAGCGGCCGAUAUCAGAUUAGCUAGUUGGUGAGGUAAAGGCUCACCAAGGCGACGAUCUGUAGCGGGUCUGAGAGGAUGAUCCGCCACACUGGAACUGAGACACGGUCCAGACUCCUACGGGAGGCAGCAGUGGGGAAUUUUGGACAAUGGGGGCAACCCUGAUCCAGCCAUGCCGCGUGAGUGAAGAAGGCCUUCGGGUUGUAAAGCUCUUUCGGCCGGAAAGAAAUCGCAUAGGUUAAUACCCUGUGUGGAUGACGGUACCGGAAUAAGAAGCACCGGCUAACUACGUGCCAGCAGCCGCCGUAAAAC